AGCCAGUGUUUUGUUCUGCUCCACGUUCUGUGGACAGAUUUAAAUGGAUUGUUAAUGUUAUGGAGAGAGGAAUUUUCCAUUCUCUGUGUCGUUACAGCAACGGCGGCAUCUGCACGCCCCGCCUGGAGCCAGGGCUGCCAGCAAUGCCAGAAAUUUGGGAAUUCUGGAGGCACCACAUUCCCCACUGGGCAUUCACUGGACCAACAGGAGGGUGAGAUAUCAGCUGGAAUAUCAGAGAGAAUGACCUUGGAGAAUAACUCAAUAGCCUCGGCAAAUCCGCCGCUUUUCCAGUGAAACAGAAUAAACAAAACCAGGUUGGUGGCUCAAGGUUUCUAAUUCCAAAAGAGCAGACUGAGAAAUUACAGAAACUAAUUAGUGGAGUCAACGUGAUUGAAGUGCCAGGGGACUGAGUGUGAAGGAGCUUUGGAAUCUGGAGUCAAGGCUUCAAAAUCUGUUUGAAGUGCGCCACAAACAAGGAGGCAGCAAUUUACAGGAAAUGGAAAUGGCUCUUCAACAUUUGCUUAAAACCCAAAUGAUCCAGAAGAAUCAGACAGCCAAAAGCGCCAGCUCUGACCUUUUCUGACUGAAAUUGUAACACAUCAUCCUAAAAUAACGUGGGUGUGAUGGAGAAUCACCUGCCCUGGGAUGAGUGCUGCUACACAGGGAUCCCUAAAGAGCUCUGAGCAGCUACAAAUGGGUGACACCAACCUGGCAAACCGUCCUGGAAAAGCAGCAAUAAAUCCGUGUUUCCAACAGGGCUGCUUCUGGAAAUCUCUCCAGAUACAAAGGAGCAAGGGUGUGGUGAAAUUCUCACACGUGGCCUUCUUGAGAUUAUGUUGUCCACACUGCAGCCAAGCAUGAGUCAGUAUCAAUUCCAGUUGGAAAACUCCAAGACUGGAUGCAGAAGUACCAGGCACAGCCAAUGUCUCUGUUGCUGUUAGCCAAAACACAGAUCUAUAUAUAUAUUUUGCCUGAGAAGUACCAGAAUUUGGAUUUGUCUCUGUACAAAACUCUGGAAGGUCCCUCCCUGCUGUGGCCCAAACUGUUCAGCAGUGAAAGGAGCAUCUCUCUUGCUUUGAAAUGUCCCCAGAGAUGGAAAGUCCUGCAACCUGUAACACCUCCAUCAGCCAGGACUGAGGUAGGCAUUGUCUUCCCCUUUUUCUCUAGAAUUCUAGAACAUGACCCUUUGUGUUCG
rnacentral:lncRNA from 1 species